rnacentral:rRNA from 1 species
AUGUCCGCUACGGCGUUUAUGGAGCUGGCGCUCGACCAGGCCAAGUUUGCGCUGGACAACCUCGAGGUUCCUGUAGGAUGUGUGAUUGUGGAGGACGGGAAGGUUAUUGCCUCUGGUAGCAACAGGACCAAUGCCACCCGGAAUGCUACGAGACAUGCUGAGAUGGAAGCAAUCGAUAUCCUUCUCCAGGAGUGGCAGAGUAUUGGCCUUGACCAGACACUGGUCGCGGAUAAGUUUGCAGGAUGUGACCUCUAUGUCACGUGCGAGCCAUGCAUAAUGUGUGCAUCAGCAUUGUCGAUACUAGGAAUCAGGGAAGUAUACUUUGGGUGUCCGAAUGAUAAAUUCGGGGGAUGUGGAUCAGUCAUGUCACUGCAUGAGAGCCUUUCGUCGGAUGACUUGACAGGGAGCCAAGAUACCAGAUCAAGAGGUUUUAAAUGUACUGGUGGGAUAAUGGCGGAAGAGGCAGUCGCUCUUUUUAGAAAUUUCUAUGAACAAGGAAACCCGAAUGCACCGAAGCCUCACAGACCUGUCCGAGUGGAUCAGCAGUGA